rnacentral:rRNA from 1 species
ACAUGCAAGUCGUACGAGAACCCCGGUGCUUGCAUUGGGGGGAGAGUGGCGAACGGGUGAGUAACACGUGGAUUAUCUGCCUUCAGGUCUGGGAUAACCCCGGGAAACCGGGGCUAAUACCGGAUAAUAUGGCAACAUUAAAGGUGGGGACCUUCGGGCCUAUCGCCUGAAGAUGAGUCCGCGUCCCAUUAGCUUGUUGGUGGGGUAAUGGCCUACCAAGGCGACGAUGGGUAGCCGGCCUGAGAGGGUGUACGGCCACAUUGGGACUGAGAUACGGCCCAGACUCCUACGGGAGGCAGCAGUUAAGAAUCUUGCGCAAUGGGCGAAAGCCUGACGCAGCGACGCCGCGUGGACGAUGAAGGCCUUCGGGUUGUAAAGUCCGGUAAGCAGGGAAGAAUAAGUGUAAAGUAAUAUCUUGCACGAUGACGGUACCUGCCUAAAGCCCCGGCUAACUACGUGCCAGCAGCCGCGGUAAUACGUAUGGGGCAAGCGUUGUUCGGAAUUAUUGGGCAUAAAGGGCGUCUAGGCGGGGGACUAAGUUAGGUGUGAAAGCCCGGGGCUCAACCUCGGAAGUGCUUUGGAUACUGCUUGGCUUGAGUACGUCAGAGGAAAGCGGAAUUCCUGGUGUAGCGGUGAAAUGCGUAGAUAUCAGGAGGAACACCGGUGGCGAAAGCGGCUUUCUGGGACGUUACUGACGCUGAGGCUCGAAAGCGUGGGGAGCGAACGGGAUUAGAUACCCCGGUAGUCCACGCCGUAAACUUUGUGCACUAGGUGUGGGAGGCGUCGACCCCUUCCGUGCCGAAGCUAACGCAUUAAGUGCACCGCCUGGGGAGUACGGCCGCAAGGCUAAAACUCAAAGGAAUUGACGGGGGCCCGCACAAGCGGUGGAGCAUGUUCUUUAAUUCGAUGCAACGCGAAGAACCUUACCCAGGCUUGACAUCCCGCGCUACCCUUGGAAACAAGGGGUUCCCUUCGGGGACGCGGUGACAGGUGUUGCAUGGCUGUCGUCAGCUCGUGUCGUGAGAUGUUGGGUUAAGUCCCGCAACGAGCGCAACCCUUAUCCCUAGUUACCAGCGGUUCGGCCGGGCACUCUAGGGAGACUGCCGGUGAUAAACCGGAGGAAGGUGGGGAUGACGUCAAGUCAGCAUGGCCCUUAUGUCUGGGGCUAGAAACGUGCUACAAUGGCCGGUACAAAGGGCUGCGAGAUCGCGAGAUCGAGCCAAUCCCAAAAAACCGGUCUCAGUUCGGAUUGUAGCCUGCAACUCGACUGCAUGAAGCUGGAAUCGCUAGUAAUCGCGUAUCAGCCACGACGCGCUGAUACGUUCCCGGGCCUUGUACACACCGCCCGUCACGUGACCUGAGUCGGGUGGAGCUGACGUCGCUGACCCAACCCGCAAGGGAGG